AUGGUCUGGGGACCGGCUCCUGUGUCGCUGCACCUGCUGGCGGUGGGCACAGCCCCAAUACCAGGCAGCCUGUCCAUCCAAUGUACAGCCUAAUGGAAUCUGGCCUCUUUCCUAGUGGGAUGAGGUCAUCCAGUUAUACUGAGAUACUAAGAAUUUCCAUCUUGAAAUACAGGUGUAUAACUGUUUAAAAGU
ensembl:snoRNA